GACGUAGGUGGCGAACGUUAUCCGGAAUUAUUGGGCGUAAAGGGUGCGUAGGCGGCAUGAUAAGUUAUUGGCGGCAAAUCGAGGCUCAACCUCGUGGAAACUGAUAAUACUGUUUUGCUUGAGUACAGAAGAGGUUAACGGAACUCCAUGUGGAGCGGUAAAAUGUGUAGAUAUAUGGAGGAAUACCGGUGGCGAAGGCGGCAUCCUGGACCGGCAUUGACGCUGAGGAGCGAAAGCCAGGGGAGCAAACAGG
rnacentral:rRNA from 1 species